CUUUUUAUGUCCCCCACUAUAGUAGUGGGGGACAUAUUGUUUUUGCCCUGUCUGUUGGUCUGUCUGUUGGUCUGUCUGUUUGCGCCAACUUUAACAUUUUGCAAUAACUUUUGCUAUAUUGAAGAUAGCAACUUCAUAUUUGGCAUGCAUGUGUAUCUCAUGAAGCUGCACAUUUUGAGUGGUGAAAGGUCAAGGUCAUCCUUCAAGGUCAGAGGUCAAAUAUAUGUGGCCAAAAUCGCUCAUUUUAUGAAUACUUUUGCAAUAUUGAAGAUAGCAACUUGAUAUUUGGCAUGCAUGUGUAUCUCAUGGAGCUGCACAUUUUGAGUGGUGAAAGGUCAAGGUCAAGGUCAUCCUUCAAGGUCAGAGGUCAAAUAUAUGUGGCCCAAAUCGCUUAUUUUAUGAAUACUUUUGCAAUAUUGAAGAUAGCAACUUGAUAUUUGGCAUGCAUGUGUAUCUCAUGGAGCUGCACAUUUUGAGUGGUGAAAGGUCAAGGUCAAGGUCAUCCUUCAAGGUCAGAGGUCAAUUAUAUGUGGCCAAAAUCGCUCAUUUUAUGAAUACUUUUGCAAUAUUGAAGAUAGCAACUUGAUAUUUGGCAUGCAUGUGCAUCUCAUGGAGCUGCUCAUUUUGAGUGGUGAAAGGUCAAGGUCAUCCUUCAAGGUCAGAGGUCAAAUAUAUGUGGCCCAAAUCGCUUAUUUUAUGAAUACUUUUGCAAUAUUGAAGAUAGCAACUUGAUAUUUGGCAUGCAUGUGUAUCUCAUGGAGCUGCACAUUUUGAGUGGUGAAAGGUCAAGGUCAAGGUCAUCCUUCACAAGGUCAAUGUCAAACAUCAUAUAGGGGGACAUUGUGUUUCACAAA